AGCGAACGCUGGCGGCAGGCCUAACACAUGCAAGUCGAACGAACUCUUCGGAGUUAGUGGCGGACGGGUGAGUAACACGUGGGAACGUGCCUUUAGGUUCGGAAUAACUCAGGGAAACUUGAGCUAAUACCGGAUGUGCCCUUCGGGGGAAAGAUUUAUCGCCUUUAGAGCGGCCCGCGUCUGAUUAGCUAGUUGGUGAGGUAAAGGCUCACCAAGGCGACGAUCAGUAGCUGGUCUGAGAGGAUGAUCAGCCACAUUGGGACUGAGACACGGCCCAAACUCCUACGGGAGGCAGCAGUGGGGAAUCUUGCGCAAUGGGCGAAAGCCUGACGCAGCCAUGCCGCGUGAAUGAUGAAGGUCUUAGGAUUGUAAAAUUCUUUCACCGGGGACGAUAAUGACGGUACCCGGAGAAGAAGCCCCGGCUAACUUCGUGCCAGCAGCCGCGGUAAUACGAAGGGGGCUAGCGUUGCUCGGAAUUACUGGGCGUAAAGGGAGCGUAGGCGGACAUUUAAGUCAGGGGUGAAAUCCCGGGGCUCAACCUCGGAAUUGCCUUUGAUACUGGGUGUCUUGAGUAUGAGAGAGGUGUGUGGAACUCCGAGUGUAGAGGUGAAAUUCGUAGAUAUUCGGAAGAACACCAGUGGCGAAGGCGACACACUGGCUCAUUACUGGCGCUGAGGCUCGAAAGCGUGGGGAGCAAACAGGAUUAGAUACCCUGGUAGUCCACGCCGUAAACGAUGAUUGCUAGUUGUCGGGAUGCAUGCAUUUCGGUGACGCAGCUAACGCAUUAAGCAAUCCG
rnacentral:rRNA from 1 species